rnacentral:tmRNA from 1 species
GGGGGCGAAAUAGGAUUGACGAGGGUGUAAAGGGUGAUUUUUCGCUCGGCAUGAUACCGCCGUUAUCGGGUCAAACCUUAUAGUUGCCAACGACAACUAUGCUCCGGUGGCCGUCGCUGCGUAAUGCAGCGCCCAAACUGGGAAUUAAGCCCUAGGGGUUAGCACUUCUAGGCGGGGUCAGGAGGCGCCUGGCAACAGAAGCCUCCGCU